CCUACGGGAGGCUGCAGUGGGGGAUCUUGCACAAUGGGGGGAACCCUGAUGCAGCGACGCCGCGUGGGUGAAGGAGCGUUUCGGCGCGUAAAGCCCUAUCGGAAGGGAAGAAGAUGACGGUAACUGACCAAGAAGCCUCGGCUAACUACGUGCCAGCAGCCGCGGUAAUACGUAGGGGGCAAGCGUUAUCCGGAUUUACUGGGUGUAAAGGGGUCGAAGACGGCAAUGCAAGCCAGGUGUGAAAGCCCGGGGCCCAACCCCGGGACUGCUCUUGAAACUGCAUGGCUGGAGAACGGGAGGGGCAGGCGGAAUUCCUAGUGUAGGGGUGAAAUGCGUAGAUAUUAGGAGGAACACCGGUGGCGAAGGCGGCCUGCUGGACUGUGACUGACGUUGAGGCCCGAAGGCGUAGGGAGCAAACAGGAUUAGAUACCCGUGUAGUC
rnacentral:rRNA from 1 species